CCAUCACGCACACAGCGAAAGGGGAACAUAAUGGUCAAGCCGGUGGUCACGAAGUCGGUGGUGAAGAAGCGCACGAAGCGCUUCACCCGCCAUCGCUAUGAGCUCUUUCCGCAGCUGAGCUCCAGCUGGCGCAAGCCGCGUGGCGAGGACUCCCCGGUCCGCCGCCGCUACAAGGGCCAGAAGGCGAUGCCGAACAAGGGUUACGGUAGCGACCGCGCCACCAAGUACAUCACUCCGUCCGGCUUCAAGAGCUUCCCGAUCCAAAACGUGCAGGAUCUGUACAUGCUCGUGAUGCAGAACCGCAAGUACGCUGGCGUCAUCUCUCACACUGUCGGUGCCAGGUCUCGCAAGGCCAUCGUCCGCAAGGCCCACGAGCUCGAUGUCCGCCUAAUCAACGGCGGGGCCAAGCUGCGCAAGCUGGAGAGCAACUAGAAGCUGAUUGCGCAACGUGGUGCACAGUCUGUGUGCAGCGUGCUUGAAGCGCACCCGAUUUGAGGGAGCGUAGCUCGGGGCAAGCGCAAGACGGCGAAGUGAGGGGUGGAGGGGAGACGGGAGCGCGUGGACGCGGUGAGGAACAUAACGAAAAAGAUGGAGGAGGAAUCUAUGUGCCACACGCGGCUGCGGCUGGACGGCGCGCGCUUAGAGAUCACGCAGAGAAACGGGCAAGGGAGAAGUGGGAAGGGGAACACAGGAGGCGCGAAUCACGUGUGCCACACGCGUAUGUGUGUGCGUGUGCCCCUCUUCCCCCUCUGCACUGCCUUUUCCGCCUACGACCUCUGUGUGGCGCAUUGCACGGCGCACGCGUUCUCGAGUCGCGUCGGCACCCCCUCCUUUCGUGUGCGCCCUGGCGCUCUUUACCGGUGCGCUCUCGCUUGUCUUCUCCCCUCCCCUCUGCUCUUCACAUCUGCGUUGCCCUUCGCCGCCUUUCGCGCGCGCGGUGCUAUUCAUUUUCUCUUUUUAUUUUUCUUUUCCUCCAGACG
rnacentral:misc_RNA from 1 species